AGUUUUAUAGUCAAUUAAUGAUUUUAGAUUGCAAAUCUAAAGAUGAACUUAGUUCUAAGGCUU
rnacentral:tRNA from 1 species